rnacentral:sRNA from 1 species
AUAUCUCUCCGUACGGGAAGGAUGAGAAGCUUCGACUAAGGUUCGAUUCGAGCGAAAGCGAGAGAACGUUGCCAACGGCAACGGCCCGUAGGGUGAGGAGCGAAGUGACAAAUAAUCCUUCCCCCACCACCA